GGGGAGUUGUCCAGAUUUAAGUUUUGUGUGAUCAAAGUGAAAAUAUUAUUUCAUAGGUUAUAAUGUCAGUCUCUCAGCAAAUAUACAUAGUUCUAUAAUAUCUUCUGGCGAAGAUCCUCAUUUUUAAUGGUCAGAGUAAAAAGUAUUUUUUUAAUGAUAUCCGGUUGUAAAUUUUCCCAACUCUUUUUUUAAGGUUCCUUGGAACUCUGGUUUGGCAAAGAUAUGUGAUAAUCCUGCGUUCUUUUUUUAUAGUCCUAUUUUUAAAAUUAAAGUAUUCUUUUUAAUAGUUAGUUGAUAUUUUGAAAAGAGUAUAGAUGGUUGUUCGAUUUCCGUGCAAAGUAAUUUUUUCUUGAAAAAGGAAUGAUGUAUGUAUAUGAUAAUAUCGAAAUUGAGAAAUCGGUUGAUAUUUUGAAAAUAGUAUAGAUGGUUGUUCGAUUUCCGUGUAAAGUAAUUUUUCUUGAAAAAGGAAUGAUGUAUGUAUAUGAUAAUAUCGAAAUUGAGAAAUCGGAAUGAAUAAAAUAAUAAGCAAGGUCCUUCUUAAUAUUGUACCAAUAUAAAAUAGAAAAUAGAGAGUACGUGGGAUGGCUAGAUAGAGAAAUAAAAGAUAUUUUUUAACUUAGAAACUCCAUGCUACCACCGAACACUGGCGGAGCAUUGUAGGGCCAUAGAGAUCCCCCCCCCCCCUCCCCCCCACCAAACUUUUUGAAGAGAAGAGCAGAGAGCUCUGCAAUCCAUUCAAUAUACAAAGUCGUAGUCCGCUCAACACGCAAGUGAAGAGCUGAAAAAUAUUGCAACCAUAGCUGAGCUAUGCUGACGCCUUGUUGCCAUUGGACGUUAUAUGAAUUUGAACAUGAUUGAUAGAUUGCUUCGGUUGCUUCUUAUUACUCUUCUAGUUUCAAUGGCUAGCGCUAGCGUGCUUUUUCUAUCUUGAAGAUCACUAAGACAAGAUUAUGAAACAAGAUGAAAGACGAAUUUCUUACCAAUAGUUUGGUAGUACACAUGGAAGGAAAAAUAGCAGGAGACUAUAGCUAUGAAGAAAAGAAGGGAGAACUUUUAACAAGUGCUAGUUAUACUGAUUACUUAUCUUUUUGUGUGUAUAUAUAUACUAAUAUGAUAGUAUGAUACGGUGAUAGGUCUCUACUGACAAUAGGCUACGGUCACUUGUAGUUUCUUAAGUGUAACAUAGUUACCAGUAGUUCAUCAAUCAAAACUUACUAGAAACGCGCGAGGCUUUGCCGCGUAGGACCCGUAUUUCGUGUCGUCAAACUGUAGUUGAUACAGAUUUUAGUUCAUGCACAGAGUAGCAAUUAUUGUAUACUUAGGAAUCAUGAUAUGCAGCCUGUUGUUGUAGUUGAUGUAUAUUUUGGACUCUCUAUUAUCGUGACACUACUAUUUAAGUAGGAUAUUAUUUUUGCGUGGGAAUGGAACUAUCUUUUUUUGUUAUAUUUAGUGUUUUUGGUUAUAGUAUUUUUGGUUGUCAUUUAUUUUAAAAAUUUGUUGUGUAGCAAAAGCUUUUGGUUCUGAAAUUUUGAGCAAUUUUUGUAUUUAAAAUUUUUUGACGUAAAGAUGUUUUGGUGUCUGAAUCGUAGGUAGAAUGGAUGUAGAAUGGAUCUUACGUAAACAUUUAUGUGGAUAAAUUCUAAAAGCAUUUUGAAUUUAAAAUUGUAAAGCUGUAUAUUUUGAAAUCCUGAGCAACUUUUGUAUUGAACACUUUUAAAUUACUAUAUAAUAAAGCUGUAGAUUUUGAAAUCCUAAGCAACUUUUGUAUUGAACACUUUUUAAUUUGAAGACGUUUUGGUGUCCAUAUUAUAGGUACGACGGAUCGCAUGCAAGCAUUUGUGCAAACGAAUUGUGAAAGCGUUUUGAAUUUUAAAAUUUGCUUUAUAAUGAAGUUGUAGUUUUGGAUUUUUGAUCAAAUUCUAUAUUGAACAACUUUUGAUUUCAACGUGUUUUGGUGUUCAAAUUGUAAUGUUGCUCGUGUAGAAGCAACAGAUGGAAUGAGUUGAGGUUUAAUUUAAUUAAAAUCCGUGGGUUUUUCUAAAUCAUUUCUGAGAGACGACCAGGAUGUUGAUUUUCUGAAAAUUUAAGAUUUUCUCUGCAAAUUCUCUAAAUCGGGAAGGUUGGACCGCGGGUUGAUUUUGAUAAAAGUUGUUAGUUUUUUGCAAAAUUACCUAAGGGAAGAGGCUGGACUGCUGGUUGAUUUAUCUAAAGUUCGAGAGCUUUUUGCAAAAUGACCGGAACUCAUAGGAUCUGGGCCGUCCGCCAGGCCAAUCCGACGACCGGGAACAGCAAGCGACGUGGCCACACUGGCCAGCCUUCUUUUGGUACAUGAAUCCUAUUAAGAGAUUUCUAUGAAACUUUUAUAUAUAUUGAUUUAGAUUUCUAUGAAACUUUUAUAUAUAUUGAUUUGAAGUUGGUAAAUUAGCCCCCUCUAUAUUUUUGGUUCACGCUCUACCACUGCCACCGAAGAAGGGAACGGCCGAGUCCACUGCCUGGCAACAAGUCCAGAGAGGUCUAGGCGUCGAGUUUAACCUCUGUUUUGGUACUCUUCGUUUCUUUCUUUUUUUUUUUUUUGCAAAACUGGUACUCUCCUUUUCAGAUACCCUUCUACCUCUUACCGGAGUAGUUCUACCAACAACUUCUAUUUUCAACACAAAUUUUUUUUCUAGUUUCAGCAAGGGGUACUCAAAACUUUUGAGGUUGUGAGAAUUUCAAAUCUCACGAGUUUUGCACGACACAGUUCAAUGUCUCUUUAUUUGUAUUUUUUAAAAGAAAAACAGUCCUCAAUCAUAAUGUGGGAGAUGGGAUCAUUUCAUUGAAGUUGAAGCUAUAGAAGUCAAUUUUGGUGCCUAUGAUUAUAGACAGUAUAUGUCUGAAUUUUUGGGGUUGAAGCAGCAAGAUUCAGUAGUAUUCCAAUGGAGGCUUUUAGGACCAACCUGGAGGCCGGAGCGCGAAUAUUGACAGGUUAUGUGCCAGGCCACGAAAUACCUAUAGGAAUCACCUAUAUUCCUGGCAAUGAUAACAUUACAAGUCAUAAUAGUUGUCAACACCAGGCCUACAUACUUGGUCCGGACCAUCAAGAAUUCAAGAUAAAACAGGCUGGAAAAUACAGUGCUGAACCUCUUGCUCCCGUAUGAUUCCAUUCUUGAAUUUGUCGCAAACAAUACCUUCUGUUUCACUGUUUACAUUAAUCAAGAUGUAUUAUAGUGAUGGAGCUGCUUUUUCACUGUUUA